GACAAUGACUAUGAGGGUCUGCAGGAUCCCCCCGUGCGACGUCAGUUACAGAACAUUCUCCGACAGUAUCCUGAUGGACCCCAGAUCAUCAGGGAGCUGGUACAGAAUGCUGAAGAUGCUAAAGCCAGUACUUUCAAGGUUAUGACAUGUAUGGAGGAUAAUUUAGGGGAUGGAGUUUUUGACUACAAAUACAAAAAAAUCUUCCAGGGACCAGCUCUUUGUACAUUCAAUGAUGGCAUCUUCACCGAAAAAGAUUGGAAAGGCAUCAAAACUAUUUACGUCAGCUUGAAAGAAAAAGAUGAUACCUUUAAGAUUGGACGAUUUGGACUUGGGUUCAAAUCAGUAUUUCAUCUUAC